rnacentral:rRNA from 1 species
UACAGAGGGGGCAAGCGUUUGUUCGGAAUUACUGGGCGUAAAGGGCGCGUAGGCGGCCUGCUAAGUCGAACGUGAAAUCCCCGGGCUCAACCCGGGAACUGCGUCCGAUACUGGCAGGCUUGAAUCCGGGAGAGGGAUGCGGAAUUCCAGGUGUAGCGGUGAAAUGCGUAGAUAUCUGGAGGAACACCGGUGGCGAAGGCGGCAUCCUGGACCGGCAUUGACGCUGAGGCGCGAAAGCCAGGGGAGCAAACGGG